rnacentral:rRNA from 1 species
UACGUAGGGUGCGAGCGUUGUCCGGAAUUAUUGGGCGUAAAGAGCUUGUAGGCGGUUUGUCGCGUCUGCUGUGAAAUUUCGGGGCUCAACCCCGAACUUGCAGUGGGUACGGGCAGACUAGAGUGUGGUAGGGGAGACUGGAAUUCCUGGUGUAGCGGUGAAAUGCGCAGAUAUCAGGAGGAACACCGAUGGUGAAGGCAGGUCUCUGGGCCACUACUGACGCUCAGAAGCGAAAGCAUGGGGAGCGAACAGG